UAGGGAAUCUUCGGCAAUGGGGGGAACCCUGACCGAGCAACGCCGCGUGAGUGAAGAAGGUUUUCGGAUCGUAAAGCUCUGUUGUUAAGGAAGAACGAGUGUGAGAAUGGAAAGUUCAUGCUGUGACGGUACUUAACCAGAAAGGGACGGCUAACUACGUGCCAGCAGCCGCGGUAAUACGUAGGUCCCGAGCGUUGUCCGGAUUUAUUGGGCGUAAAGCGAGCGCAGGCGGUUAGAAAAGUCUGAAGUGAAAGGCAGUGGCUCAACCAUUGUAGGCUUUGGAAACUGUUUAACUAGAGUGCAGAAGGGGAGAGUGGAAUUCCAUGUGUAGCGGUGAAAUGCGUAGAUAUAUGGAGGAACACCAGUGGCGAAGGCGACUUUCUGGUCUGUAACUGACGCUGAUGUGCGAAAGCGUGGGAAUCAAACAGG
rnacentral:rRNA from 1 species